AGUUGGUGUAAGAAGGCUGGAGAACCGGCUCAAGUUUACGCCUCCCACGUGAUCAGAGAUGAAAACAAUAAGGUGACCUGUCCUAUACUCAUGCGCUGUGUUUGCAGUAUAUGCAAUGCUACGGGAGAUAACGCACACAACCCCAG